GUGCUCACUUGGCAGCACAUAUACUAAAAUUGGAAUGAUACAGAAAAGAUUAGGAUGGCCCCUGAACAAAGACAACACACAAAUUUGUGAAGCGUUCCAUAUAUAU